AGUGCCAGUGCAGUGGUUCAGCAGGCUAGACUUGAGGUUCAAAGAUUGUGGGUUCAAUUCCCAACUGCGGCAUUG